rnacentral:rRNA from 1 species
GCCUUUAGCCAACAGUAUUAAAGGUAACGCCUGCCCAGUGAUAAAUUAAACGGCCGCGGGAUCCUCCACCGUGCAAAGGUAGCAUAAUCACUUGUCCCCUAAAUAGUGACUAGUAUGAACGGCCAAAUGAAGAUUUUACUGUCUCUUAUAGCCUAUCUAUGAAACUAAUCUAUCAGUACAAAAACUGAUAUUCUUACAUAAGACGAAAAGACCCUGUGGAACUUAAAGCUUAAAUCACUCAAUGAUACGACUGCUUUUAGUUGGGGCAACUUUGGAAACAAAUAAAACUUCCAAUUAAUAAAACCAGAUAAACAUAUCUACACCACCACUUUGGACCCAGCACCCGCUGAUCAAAGAACCAAGCUACCCCAGGAUAACAGCGCUAUCCCCUCCUAGAGCCCAAAUCGACGAGCGGGGUUUACGACCUCGAUGUUGGAUCAGGGCCCCCAAACAGUGCAACAGCUGUUAAAAGUUNGUU